rnacentral:rRNA from 1 species
CCUACGGGAGGCAGCAGUGGGGAAUAUUGGACAAUGGGGGAAACCCUUAUCCAGCGACGCCGCGUGAGGGAAGAAGGUUUUCGGAUUGUAAACCUCUGUCAGUGGGGACGAUAAUGACGGUACCCACGGAGGAAGCCACGGCUAACUACGUGCCAGCAGCCGCGGUAAUACGUAGGUGGCAAGCGUUGUCCGGAAUUACUGGGUGUAAAGGGAGCGUAGGCGGGAUGUCAAGUCAGAAGUGAAAAUUAUGGGCUCAACUCAUAACCUGCUUUUGAAACUGAUAUUCUUGAGUGAAGUAGAGGCAA